rnacentral:rRNA from 1 species
UACGUAGGUGGCAAGCGUUAUCCGGAUUUACUGGGUGUAAAGGGCGUGUAGGCGGGCUGUUAAGCCGGCGGUAAAAAUUCAGGGCUCAACCCUGUCGAGCCGUCGGAACUGGCAGUCUUGAGUGGGCGAGAAGUAUGCGGAAUGCGUGGUGUAGCGGUGAAAUGCAUAGAUAUCACGCAGAACGCCGAUUGCGAAGGCAGCAUACCGGCGCCCAACUGACGCUGAGGCACGAAAGCGUGGGGAUCGAACAGG